CACGGGAUCGGCUGGAUCGAUGGAGUUGACCGUGGGAUGGAGGCGCUAAUCCGGAAAAGAGCUAGCUGGGUGGCUAAAUCAUGGGAGUCUGGGAUCUCGGAGAAGACGGGAACGGAGCUAGAGAUGGAUGCCGAUCCGGGAGGAGCUGGGUUACCGAUUGUUGGGAAGGAGAUUAAUCCGAAAAUGUUGGCUGCAGCUGGAAAGGCUCGUUGAUUGUAGCCGGUUGGGAUCGCGGAGGAGUGGUCGUUGGCUGCAUUGACUGAUGGCGGAACACCCGGGGAUGAAGACGAUGCCGCGUAGGUGGAUGCGGAAGAAGGCGGAGGAGC
rnacentral:lncRNA from 1 species